UGGUGGAGUGAUUUGUCUGGUUAAUUCCGAUAACGAACGAGACCCCGAGCUGCUAAAUAGCCCGACCGGCUUUGGCUGGUCGCUGGCUUCUUAGAGCGACGUCCGGCGUUUAGUCGGAGGAAGUGGGGCAAUAACA
rnacentral:rRNA from 1 species